CUUUAUUUUCACCACAGCAAACAAGGUUUUGAACAUCUGGGGAAAAAACUACUGUGGGGACAAGACGCAAUCUUUACAGUCAUCAUUUUGACUUAUUCUAAGAAAAAGGUGCCCUGUGUGGAGAGUUUAAGGUCAUAAUACCACAGACUA